CCUACGGGAGGCAGCAGUGAGGAAUAUUGGUCAAUGGGCGCGAGCCUGAACCAGCCAAGUCGCGUGAGGGAUGAAGGUUCUCUGGACCGUAAACCUCUUUUAUAAGGGAAUAAAGUGUGGGACGUGUCCUAUUUUGUAUGUACCUUAUGAAUAAGGAUCGGCUAACUCCGUGCCAGCAGCCGCGGUAAUACGGAGGAUCCGAGCGUUAUCCGGAUUUAUUGGGUUUAAAGGGUGCGUAGGCGGCCUUUUAAGUCAGCGGGGAAAGUCAGGGGCUCAACCAUAGAAUUGCCGUUGAUACUGGGGGGCUUGAGUAUGUUUGAGGCAGGCGGAAUGCGUGGUGUAGCGGUGAAAUGCGUAGAUAUAACGCAGAACCCCGAUUGCGAAGGCAGCCUGCCAAGCCAUGACUGACGCUGAUGCACGAAAGCGUGGGGAUCAAACAGGAUUAGAUACCCCAGUAGUC
rnacentral:rRNA from 1 species